UUGGAGUCGGCUCAUCCACUGAAGUCCGUGGAUCCAAUUUUGAAUUUUGUCCACUCGAGUCGACUCGACUGUCCUGGGAGUCGACUCGAAUCUCAGAGCCCGAACUCCCGAUCCUCUGUCUUUUGGCUCAUCCAGUCUUGGAGUCGACUCGAACUUCCUUGGAGUCGACUCGGCUCUCAGUUUCCGAAAGUUGGUCUUCUGCCUGUUGACGUGAAGCUGUCUUGGAGUCGACUCGAGCUGUCAGGGAGUCGACUCGAAUCUCAGAGUCCCAAAAAUGCUCUCUGACUUUUUCCUUGUGUUCCGCUGAGAGUCGACUCAUGCUUUCUUUGGAGUCGACCUGCCAACCAUCGGAGUCGACUCGCGUUCCACUGGAGUCGACUCGAAUCUCAGACCCGAAAAACUGCUCUCUGACUUUUCUUCCUGUGACUGCUUGGAGUCGACUCUUACUUCCUUGGAGUCGACUCGGUGAACAUCGGAGUCGACUCGCGCACUUCGGGAGUCGACUCGCUGACAGGUUCUGAGUUGAAGCUUUCUGUUCUUCUGUCUGUUCUCAGUCGGAGUCGACUCGUACUAAUCAGGAGUCGACUCGAGCUCGUGCCAGUGAACUUGAUACGCUUGGAGUCGACUCGUGAUACUCGGGAGUCGACUCGAGUCUCAGACAUUGGUUCAAACAGACUCCUUAACUUAUCCAAAAAUUAUGAACCAAGUCUUGGGACACUUAGACAG
rnacentral:lncRNA from 1 species